GCUCGAGCCGGCCCCGCCGCCGUUCUCGUGCGGGCGGUGGGCGUCGCCGGAGGCCAUAGGGGCCGGGAUCGCGCGGGAUCGGGCCGGGAGGGCGGAAUUGGGGAGGAGACGGGCCCCCGAAACCCUAGCGGGGCGGGGCGGGGCGAGGCGAGGGUGGGGGGCAAAUGGAGGGAGGAAGGGGCAGGAAACUCGUUCGGGGGGAAGAGCGGGGAGAGACGCCAAGCCCAAAGCCUUUAAUCCUUUUUGAGUUUU
rnacentral:lncRNA from 1 species